rnacentral:rRNA from 1 species
UACGAAGGGGGCUAGCGUUGCUCGGAAUUACUGGGCGUAAAGGGCGCGUAGGCGGGCUGACAAGUCUGGGGUGAAAUCCCGCGGCUCAACCGUGGAACUGCCUUAGAUACUGUCGGCCUCGAGGAAGGUAGGGGCAUGCGGAACUGUAGGUGGAGCGGUGAAAUGCGUUGAUAUCUACAGGAACUCCGGUGGCGAAAGCGGCGUGCUGGACCUUUUCUGACGCUGAGGCGCGAAAGCUAGGGGAGCGAAUGGG